UCCGGUUUGUCACCGGCGGUCCCCUUAGAGUUCCCAACUUAAUGCUGGCAACUAACGACAGAGGUUGCGCUCGUUGCGGGACUUAACCCAACAUCUCACGACACGAGCUGACGACAGCCAUGCAGCACCUUCUCACUCGCUCUCCGAAGAGCACCCCUGCAUCUCUGCAAGGUUCGAGUGGAUUUAACCCAGGUAAGGUUCUGCGCGUUGCGUCGAAUUGAACCACAUGCUCCACCGCUUGUGCGGACUCCCGCCAAUUCCUUUGAGUUUUAAUCUUGCGACCGUACUCCCCAGGCGGGGCACUUAAUGCGUUAGCUGCGGCACCCAGGGGGUCAAUACCCCGGACACCUAGUGCCCAUCGUUUACAGCGUGGACUAC
rnacentral:misc_RNA from 1 species